GACAGAGGGUGCAAACGUUGUUCGGAAUUACUGGGCGUAAAGCGUGUGUAGGCGGUCCGCUAAGUCGGGUGUGAAAGCCCUGGGCUCAACCCAGGAAGUGCAUUCGAAACUGCCGAGCUGGAGUCCUGGAGAGGAAGGCGGAAUUCUCGGUGUAGAGGUGAAAUUCGUAGAUAUCGAGAGGAACACCGGUGGCGAAGGCGGCCUUCUGGACAGUGACUGACGCUGAGACGCGAAAGCGUGGGGAGCAAACAGG
rnacentral:rRNA from 1 species